rnacentral:lncRNA from 1 species
CGCCGCUCUAGGCUGCAGCCUGCGCGCAGCCGCAGCUCCGCAGGGAUAGCGGAGCGCCAAGGUAGCAGCGCUUCCUCUCCAUCCGCAAGGUCUUUCUGCUUCGCAGCCUCCUGGAGGCAGAUGGAAACUUUUCCUUGGCCAGCGCUGCUGGUUCUGCAGCACCCAGCGCGCCCUGCCCUGGGCAUUCUAGGGACCCAAUGUCCUGAGAUGACAACUAGAUGUAACCGAGCUUUAAGAGGUGUCCAUCUUGCCAGGAAGCAGCUGGACCAUGGUCCUCCUGACUGA